GUCUGUUUUCGUAGGUGACCUGCGGAAGGAUCAUUACCGAGUGAGGGCCCUCUGGGUCCAACCUCCCACCCGUGUUUAUUUUACCUUGUUGCUUCGGCGGGCCCGCCUUAACUGGCCGCCGGGGGGCUUACGCCCCCGGGCCCGCGCCCGCCGAAGACACCCUCGAACUCUGUCUGAAGAUUGUAGUCUGAGUGAAAAUAUAAAUUAUUUAAAACUUUCAACAACGGAUCUCUUGGUUCCGGCAUCGAUGAAGAACGCAGCGAAAUGCGAUACGUAAUGUGAAUUGCAAAUUCAGUGAAUCAUCGAGUCUUUGAACGCACAUUGCGCCCCCUGGUAUUCCGGGGGGCAUGCCUGUCCGAGCGUCAUUGCUGCCCUCAAGCACGGCUUGUGUGUUGGGCCCCGUCCUCCGAUCCCGGGGGACGGGCCCGAAAGGCAGCGGCGGCACCGCGUCCGGUCCUCGAGCGUAUGGGGCUUUGUCACCCGCUCUGUAGGCCCGGCCGGCGCUUGCCGAUCAACCCAAAUUUUUAUCCAGGUUGACCUCGGAUCAGGUAGGGAUACCCGCUGAACUUAAGCAUAUCUAA
rnacentral:rRNA from 1 species